AACGAACGCUGGCGGCAGGCUUAACACAUGCAAGUCGAGCGCGUAGCAAUACGAGCGGCAGACGGGUGAGUAACGCGUGGGAAUCUACCGUACCCUAUGGAAUAGCUCCGGGAAACUGGAAGUAAUACCAUAUACGCCCGAAAGGGGAAAGAUUUAUCGGGGUGUGAUGAGCCCGCGUUGGAUUAGCUAGUUGGUGGGGUAAAGGCCUACCAAGGCGACGAUCCAUAGCUGGUCUGAGAGGAUGAUCAGCCACAUUGGGACUGAGGCACGGCCCAAACUCCUACGGGAGGCAGCAGUGGGGAAUAUUGGACAAUGGGCGCAAGCCUGAUCCAGCCAUGCCGCGUGAGUGAUGAAGGUCUUAGGAUUGUAAAGCUCUUUCACCGAUGAAGAUAAUGACGGUAGUCGGAGAAGAAGCCCCGGCAAACUUCGUGCCAGCCGCCGCCGUAA
rnacentral:rRNA from 1 species